UACGGAGGAUCCGAGCGUUAUCCGGAUUUAUUGGGCUUAAAGGGGGCGUAGGCGGGUUGUUAAGUCAGUUGUGAAAGUUUGCGGCUCAACCGUAAAAUUGCAGUUGAUACUGGCAUCCUUGAGUACAGUAGAGGUAGGCGGAAUUCGUGGUGUAGCGGUGAAAUGCUUAGAUAUCACGAAGAACUCCGAUUGCGAAGGCAGCCUGCUGGACUGUAACUGACGCUGAUGCUCGAAAGUGUGGGUAUCAAACAGG
rnacentral:rRNA from 1 species